AAGCGGCCGUAGCUGCCGUGCGUUGUAGGCGCUGCUCCGCUGGCCUGCUAGCAGCAGCAGCAGCAGCAGCAGCAGCAGCAGCAGCAGCAGCAGCGUGGAUGCGGCGGUUGUUCCCCCCCAUACCAUUACCAGCCUCCGUAGUACUAGUAGUGGUCGGAGUAGCAGAGGCGGCGGCGGCUGCUUCUCCCCGGCGGCCGACUCCUUCAUCAUCGUCGUCGCCGCCUUUUUCACGAAGCAGCCGUUUUCUUUUGCUGCUCCCCGCCGCCGCUUCGUCACUGGUACCUGUUCCGUUGUGGCCUCCGUGGCUGCGGCAGUUUUGAUGUGGCUGUCGUUAGCGCCGCCGGUUGCAGUCGACCGUGCUGCCGCUCCAGUAGUCGCAGUGGCGCUGAAGAAGCGGCGGCUAGCGUCGACGAGGUUCAAAGAACAGCCGUUCGACCUCGAGCAUCGAGGACGGCUCGUCGCCGGUUGGAAAAAGAAAAAGCAGCUUCACCAGUGCACAAGGCGUCGUCCUACUACGCAUGCCGAUGUGCUUUCGACACGCAGACACUGUUGUCGGCGCAAUGAGCGGUAGUAGCAUUCGAACUGCUGCUGUACGCGCAGGAAAGUA
rnacentral:misc_RNA from 1 species